AAUGAAAUGCCUGAAAAAGGAUUAUUUUGAUAGAAUAAACCAUGUAGUAACCCUACUUUCAUUG
rnacentral:tRNA from 1 species